AAAAAAUUCAACGUUGAUUUAGAAAUGUUUCUGCCUUUUAACGUAUUAUUAUGAUAAUUAAUUAGCAUUUAAUGAUUUUUUGAUCAUAACAGCUCUUCAAUGUAUAUGUUAAAAUAUAAUUAUUAUCAUUAUUAACAAUAAUAGUUUCACCCUCAAGAGAGCAGUGCAGCAGAAACCUUUUGCCUUAUGUGAUUUUGUGUGAAUUUACAAUUUUGUCCGCUUGCCUAACAGUUUACAUUGCAUUAUUACAUUUGUAUUCAUACACUGUCAUGUCAUUUGACCAAUUAAUUAAAUAAUAAUACAGACUGCAAAUAAAAUUUAAUACACAGCUGUGUUAACUCGCGCAAACUAUUGCUAUUGUUAUUUGUUGUUUUUGCCGUUUUACUUUGAGCAUGAUUGGUUAAUCUGUCUGUUUUACAGGAAACUGUCCAAUGAGAAUGUGCGCGGCUCUGCGCGCCUAUUUUAAAUUUGAAAAUAUGUCCGUUAAUCUCGGUCGGGAGCAGCUGCUUUGCGUUGAUUACUCGGUCAGACCUGGAUUACUUUAUAUCUGCCUGUUGAAUUCUUACAUUUUGAGCGAAUAUUAGUUGAUAUGACAAUGAAGAUCAAAAGCUGGAAUGUGAACAGAGGAAGGGGUCGUACGUGGUCUGUAAAUACUGGCGAUAUCAGAUCAAGCUUUGUAAUAAGAUUUUUAUCGGGGGAGAACACCCAACAGAAAGACCCAUGAUUCACCAACUGGCGCACUGAAAGGGGAGAUUCAUGUCACCUUCAUCAGUCCUUUCUUUAAUCACUGGACACCAUUAAGGGAAAGACCCUCAGACGUGUCAUAAUAGGAUAAAUGCGGCUUCAGGGCAAGGCCUGGUGAGAGCCACUACAGAGGAUCAUAGCCAUUGUUGGAAUUCUGAAAGGACGUGGGUGAAUAUCAAUCUGCCAAAUGAACAUUCACAUCUGUAUAUUAAUACUGAUUAUAUAUGAACUUGUUUGUUUGUAACUGGAAAGAACUUAGCUUCUAUUGUUUUUGACUGAAGGACUUGACCAUGUUUUAAGCCUGUGUGCAUUUUCUAUUACCAGUACCUGCUCUGGCCGUGCUCCAUUUUCCAUUGCAGAUCAUACCCAGAGAUAGUACCCCUCAGUGCUGCUGGUCAGCAUAGCAAGGCCACACACAACUGCCGCGACGUACUGUUCAAUGCGACACACACACCUGCGACCCACAUACAGCUGUCUCUUGAUUUAAGUUACUCAGAAUGUAAAGACAGAUACUUAAAGGUGCUCUAAGCAAUGCCGGGAGUCGUAACUUCUUGUUGACGUUCGAAUUGUUGUCAAACAAAACAGAGGCUAGCUAGACCCUCCCUCCUCCUCAUCCGUGCACUAAGCCCCCCAACCCCCACCCCCAAAUCUUUCUUGUCGGUUAUUGGCUGUAACAGUUUGUUAUGUUUCGUGGUGCGGGUGUGCCCAGUUUGUUUUUCUUGUUGUUUGUGGAGCCUGUAGUGUCUAGAGAGACCGUGUUUUUUUUACAGUGUGUUCAGGGGACAGGCAGCUAGCGGAUAGUGAGGAGAUGUUUGCAGGAUGUGACAAAAGAUGUUUUGGCCUAAAAAACGUGUGACAUCACUUAGAGCACCUUUAAUUAAUAUAACAUUUAAUUUAACUAAAACAAAUAUCAAAUACAUGUCUAAUACUUCAUCAACGCGUCAUACUCCUGGAAAAGACCCACAUAAAGCGCAGAUUUUAAAAUGAUUAAUAUCCACAUCACUGCUGUAUUUUUCAGAUGUCAGAUCAAAUUGAGGGGAACAAGCCUGCAUCCCAAUGUGCACACUAUCCAUCCUAAAUAGUAUAUAAGAAAAUACAGUAUAUAUUUUUUGUACGAUAGUUGUUUUUGUAGAACAUCUCUGCAGUGAAUGUUUUUGUUUAAAUAAUUCCAAGGAUAUGAAGUAGAUUAUUAUUUUAACGUUAUUACAUUGCAUUUCAACGUAGGCAUACAUUUGAUGGCUUUUUUUUAUUCUGAUGCGAGUGAUGUACCGUUUUUACACACUUAUCUCAUUAAAAGGGGAAAAGUCUGUCCAUCUUCAUUUCUGAAAAUGUGUAACAUUUGAGACCCCAGCUCGGUCACAUUUAUAUUUCAUUAAUGUUAAUUAAAUAACUUGAAGUUCAGAAAGGAGUUAGAACUACCACUUGAGGUGUAGGAAACACUGGGACAUGCCAUUAUGUACAGUAAUAGUACGAUUUGAUUUGACAUUUGAACUUAAAUUGAAGUGUUCAAGCCAUUAAAGGGUUAGUUCACCCAAAAAUGAAAAUUCUGUCAGUAAUUACUCACCCUCAUGUUGUUCCAACCCCUUAAGACCUUCGUUCAACUUUGGAACACAAAUUAAGAUAU